rnacentral:rRNA from 1 species
AACGAACGCUGGCGGCGCGCCUAAUACAUGCAAGUCGAGCGAGAAGACGUAGCAAUACGUUUGUAAAGCGGCGAACGGGUGAGGAAUACAUGGGUAACCUACCCUCGAGUGGGGAAUAACUAGCCGAAAGGUUAGCCAAUACCGCGUACGCUCCUUGGACUUCGGUUCAGGGAGGAAAGCGAUACCGUGGGUAUCGCGCUCUUGGAUGGGCUCAUGUCCUAUCAGCUUGUUGGNGAGGUAACGGCUCACCAAGGCUUCGACGGGUAGCUGGUCUGAGAGGACGAUCAGCCACACUGGCACUGCGACACGGGCCAGACUCCUACGGGAGGCAGCAGUAAGGAAUAUUGCGCAAUGGGCGAAAGCCUGACGCAGCGACGCCGCGUGGGGGAUGAAGGUCUUCGGAUUGUAAACCCCUUUCGGGAGGGAAGAUGGACGAGCAAUCGUUCGGACGGUACCUCCAGAAGCAGCCACGGCUAACUUCGUGCCAGCCGCCGCGGUAAU